UACAGAGGGUGCGAGCGCUAAUCGGAAUUACUGGGCGUAAAGCGUGCGUAGACGGUUAUUUAAGUCGGGUGUGAAAGCCCCGGGCUCAACCUGGGAAUUGCAUUCGAGACUGAAUAGCUAGGGUACGGUAGAGGGAAGUGGAAUUUCCGGUGUAGCGGUGAAAUGCGUAGAUAUCGGAAGGAACAUCAGUGGCGAAAGCGG
rnacentral:rRNA from 1 species